rnacentral:sRNA from 1 species
GCUGGGCGCGGUGGUGCACACUUGUAAUCCCAGUGGCUCGGGAGGCUGAGGCAGGAGGAUCAUGAGUUCAAAGGCAGCCUCAGCAACAACAAGGCACUAAGCAACUCAGUGAGACCCUGUCUCCA